UGGGAAUUUGGACAAUGGGCGAAGCCUGAUCCAGCAAUGCCGCGUGUGUGAAGAAGGCCUUCGGGUUGUAAAGCACUUUUGUCCGGAAAGAAAUCCUUGGCUCUAAUACAGUCGGGGGAUGACGGUACCGGAAGAAUAAGCACCGGCUAACUACGUGCCAGCAGCCGCGGUAAUACGUAGGGUGCAAGCGUUAAUCGGAAUUACUGGGCGUAAAGCGUGCGCAGGCGGUUUGCUAAGACCGAUGUGAAAUCCCCGGGCUCAACCUGGGAACUGCAUUGGUGACUGGCAGGCUAGAGUAUGGCAGAGGGGGGUAGAAUUCCACGUGUAGCAGUGAAAUGCGUAGAGAUGUGGAGGAAUACCGAUGGCGAAGGCAGCCCCCUGGGCCAAUACUGACGCUCAUGCACGAAAGCGUGGGGAGCAAACAGGAUUAGAUACCCUGGUAGUCCACGCCCUAAACGAUGUCAACUAGUUGUUGGGGAUUCAUUUCCUUAGUAACGUAGCUAACGCGUGAAGUUGACCGCCUGGGGAGUACGGUCGCAAGAUUAAAACUCAAAGGAAUUGACGGGGUCAUAGCUGUUUCCU
rnacentral:rRNA from 1 species